GCAAGUCGAACGAUGAAGCCUUUCGGGGUGGAUUAGUGGCGAACGGGUGAGUAACACGUGGGCAAUCUGCCCUUCACUCUGGGACAAGCCCUGGAAACGGGGUCUAAUACCGGAUAAUACUUCUGCCUGCAUGGGUGGGGGUUGAAAGCUCCGGCGGUGAAGGAUGAGCCCGCGGCCUAUCAGCUUGUUGGUGGGGUAAUGGCCUACCAAGGCGACGACGGGUAGCCGGCCUGAGAGGGCGACCGGCCACACUGGGACUGAGACACGGCCCAGACUCCUACGGGAGGCAGCAGUGGGGAAUAUUGCACAAUGGGCGAAAGCCUGAUGCAGCGACGCCGCGUGAGGGAUGACGGCCUUCGGGUUGUAAACCUCUUUCAGCAGGGAAGAAGCGCAAGUGACGGUACCUGCAGAAGAAGCGCCGGCUAACUACGUGCCAGCAGCCGCGGUAAUACGUAGGGCGCAAGCGUUGUCCGGAAUUAUUGGGCGUAAAGAGCUCGUAGGCGGCUUGUCACGUCGGAUGUGAAAGCCCGGGGCUUAACCCCGGGUCUGCAUUCGAUACGGGCUAGCUAGAGUGUGGUAGGGGAGAUCGGAAUUCCUGGUGUAGCGGUGAAAUGCGCAGAUAUCAGGAGGAACACCGGUGGCGAAGGCGGAUCUCUGGGCCAUUACUGACGCUGAGGAGCGAAAGCGUGGGGAGCGAACAGGAUUAGAUACCCUGGUAGUCCACGCCGUAAACGUUGGGAACUAGGUGUUGGGCGACAUUCCACGUCGUCGGUGCCGCAGCUAACGCAUUAAGUUCCCCGCCUGGGAGUACGGCCGCAAGGCUAAACUCAAAGGAAUUGACGGGGGCCCGCACAGCAGCG
rnacentral:rRNA from 1 species